CAUUUCACAUUCUUAAAGUAAAAUGGUGAUUCUAACUGACAGGGAAUUGUUACUAGCAUUAAAUGUCAGGAAUUGUGAAACUGAGUUUAAAUGUAUUUGGUUAAGGUGUAUGUAAGCUUCCAAAUUCAACUGUAUUUGCUUUUAUAUAGGAACAUAUUGUUAAAUAGAAAUAAAUAAUUUAAGAUAGAUUUUUAGAUUGAUUUUAUAUUGACAUUGCUAGCUAUUGAUUUACCUCAGCCAGAGAGUUUGAUUUAAACUAAUGUUAUCUAGCAAGCUAACUGUUAUUGUAGCUGCUUUCUGUUUGUAUUUUCUGUUUGAUUAUCUUUUAUCUUUCCAACCAGGCGAAGUACUACGAAGGCACCACUGAUCUCGACAAGAGACGCAACAUUCAUGGGGGAGCAGAGAAAUUCACAAUUCAGGGCAAUCACAUAUACCUACAGGGGAAGGCUGCACAGCCGCACAGGAGGUUCAUUUUCGCUAAGGAGGAAAAGGAGGCGGCGCUGACAGAUGCAUGCUGGACAUUACGGAGUGAAGCGCAUGAUUGCCAAAAUCAGCCUACGCUUCUUCUGGCGUGGGAUUGUCAAGGAUGUGGACAGCUGGGAAAGUCAAAUAACCUUUUGUUUAUCAAUCACAAGCUAUUAUGUCUGAAAUGAUUAUGAAUUCGAUGAAUGUCAUAUCAGAGUGCACACAGUGUUUCAAUGUGUCACUUUGUGUUUAUAGGUCAGUACCUGUCUAACCUGACAGAAGUUUGAGAGGGUGAAGACUGUGGCUCCGGAGUUGAAGCCCAUCAAAGUUGUUUCACCAUGGCUGGCACAUGAUCGGCACAGGAUAAGCAGAAGGAGAGCUACCAGAGGAGAAUCAAGAAGGGGACCAGGUGCUUCGACAUCCGUGCAAAUGACUUGGUUUGGAAGAAGGAUGAAAGGAAGGCGAGACCUGGGAAAUCUCGUUGCUCUUUCGCUCCUAGCUGGGGUCAACAUCCGCUAAGGUGAAUAUAAAAAAUCUCAGAAAACUAUUUGAAUUUGCACCCCAAAUAUCCAGAAACUAGUUAUAGUUUUCCUAACACCUGGGUGGAAGCCAACGAUAUUCUCCAGUUGGAGCAGUUGGACGGUCGACCACUGAAAGCCCUGACGCCCUACACUUCGGUGAAGCCCGUGAGACAAAGUAUGCUAAGCUGUGGUUGACUUUUGAGAAAGCAAGAAAUGUUAGUUAUGCUGAGCUCAUAAAAAUGUACAUCUUCAAUUUACCUCUCCAAAUGACUUUCGGGCUGUCAACCGCCCAAGCCACCCAGGAGGUAUCCAAUCCACCAGAGCCAGUAAGUUCGGAUCAGUCUGAUUCUCUGUGCUCUGAGUCGGAAGGGGACCAGCUUAAGGUAGGCUAUACUUUCAAAAACGGUUGAAAAGUGUAUAUCUCCUCUUCAUAACACUGUACUAAUCCAUCAAAUGUUCUCACAAGUGGCUUGCGUCGGACUGGAGGAACAGGGACAGGUAAGUCCAGUCACUGGACAAGACGACACGAGUGAGGUGUUCUCAUCACUUUUGUCUCAUGUUUUCCCCACCCUUGUUUUCACUGUUUGGCCGGCUCCCCACCUCACUGUAUCUUGUGGUAAAUUGUAUGUUAUUGUAAAUAACCCUAAUAACCAGUUGUAACAUUGUUUUUAAUUUGUAUAAAGAUGUGUUUUCUUGCAGACAUUGGCUGUGAAGUUGGUAAGUAUGCAGCACAUGUCUUUUAUUCCAAGUAAAUGUAUUCAUUGCAAGUAACAUUUUCAAUUGACAGUCAAUUUGACAGUUCAGUUGCCCAGUUCCUUACCACAUCCUUCGAGCGUCAGAGCCGGUGUAGUACGAUUCAAUCUUAAUCCUGUAUAGACGCUUUGCUUGUUUGAUGGUUCAUCUGAGGGCAUAGCGGG